AACCCAUGCUGAGGGCAUUUCUGUAGAAGCUCCUUGAACCUAUCCUAUGUCUCAAAAGGAGACUCCAAUUUUGUUUGCACAAAACAAGAUAUUUCAUUCCUAAGCUU